ACUGCCUUUUAUGCGUGCUAUAUGGUAAUUAUUAUUUUUUCUUUUCUAAAAGUUCAAAACCAGGAGAAUUUUCCUUCAUGUAGUUGGUUAGUUUAUUCAUCCGGUGUUUUAUGUUAAAUUCAUGUUCAUUGAAGUGAAUGUAGAAGAUGAUGGGAAAAACUGAAAUAAUUCGGUUCAGUAGCUUAUUCUGCUUUUUAUUUUUUUUGGGUAAAGUAUUCAGCUGUUUCUUUGAAGUAUGGAGAAUGAGUAUCACGAAUAAAUUUAGUGAAUGGGAUGCAAAAAAUUUCAUCAGCUGUCAGUAAGUUAAACUUCUGUAGGUCAUUAUGAAUUGGAAAAGGUAAUGGAAAUAGUCUUCAAGAACCAAUAUAGCUUUUAUCUUAUAAAUAUCAGUCAUUUAGGAAAUUACAUGCUUAAGCAAUAUACGGAAAGAGAUAAAACAAGCAGCAAAAAGAUCAAGAGGUGAUUACAGCCAUGUUGGAAAUAUUAUUUGAUAACGUAUCAUAACAUGUGACUGAGAUUUUAAAUCAUAAUUGUUAUGGUGUAGAAGGGAGGGCUUCAUUAGUCUCACAUUGAUGGUGAGUCAAGGGAGACUCUAGCUUAUACAGAAAGAGACCAUCCUUGCCAUGUGAAGUGCUUUUUGAAGGACAAAACCAUGGGUCCAUGGUCCAGAGACAAAACUGUGAGGUCCAUGGUCUAGAGCGAACAAUACCUCACAUAUCGAGCCAUAAGCCUUAGGCCACAACAGUGGCGUAUCAAGUAGGGGACCACCCCUACAACUGUGGGGCUCCUCCUGCCCAUACAUCAGUCUGUAGUAAAAAUAAAGAGGAUGGCAUCUUCCAUCCGUACACAGGCUCCCCCUUUAUUGGGGCUUGUGGUAAAAAUAAGAAGGAGGACACCUUCCGUCCAUACACAGACUUCUCUUUGACUGGGAGGCUAUGUCGUGGUGUAGAAGAGAGGGCUUUAUUAGUCCCACAUUAGUUGUGAGUCAAGAGGGAUUCUAGCUUAUAUAAGAAGAGACUAUUUUUCUCACAUGAGGUACAUUUUGAAAAGCAAAACCAUGAGACCCACAAGCCAAAACGGACAAUACCUCACGUGUCAAGCUAUGAGUUCGUGGCCACAACAAUAAUAUUGAUUUGGAAUGGAUGGCCAAGGCAUAGUCUCGAUAUAUUUUUUUUGUUAUAUUAGAAAUAUUAUCUAAAAACUUGAGGAAUAAAUGAGGAUGUUCUUAUUAUGUCUGAGAGGACUAAUAAUUACAUAUUAUAAUAUGAAACUUUUUGUGAGAUAGGAAAAUAUGACUAGUGGAUGUAAUGUUGAUAGGAUUGAAUGACUAAGAAGGAAGCCACUAUCAAUAAAAUAAGUAAUAGGCUUUAACGAUAAAAUGGGAUGCCUUUUUAUGCUUCUGCCUCUCUGCCUCUGUACACAUUUGAUCACACAUCGUUCUAUAUUACUUUUGAUAUUUAAUUCAUUGACAUUUUCCUCUCUCUCUCUCUCAAAAGACUCAUUUAUAGACAUCUGUUAUCAGCAAUUUAUAUGUCAUCCAUCUGUAAUAUUUUUUCUCCAUUUUUUUUAUUAUUGUAACUCCUUGUGCUCUUUUUUCGGUAUGAGCUGAGUAAAUUUUGCCCGUAUAAUACCAUUUGAGCCGACGAUGGGGACCCUUCAAUAAACACAGCCCCAUCUGAUAAGCGGCCUGAUGUUGUAUUGCUUGAUUCUGUGAUCUUCCCACCUCAAUGGUUGGUUGCUGAGCAUACCUUCCGCGCUUCUUAUUACCAUUGCAGUUGUAUGAGUGAAUUCAUGGGUUUAAUUUAUGGGACUAAAGCUGAUGGAUUUCUUCUCGGGGUGGCUAAGCUCACACAGCUGCAUGAUACCACAUGGACCUGGCACUAAGACAUAAUGAGUAUAAGCUGAGUAAAUUUUGCCCGUAUAAUACCAUUUGAGCCGAGGAUGGGGACCCUUCAAUAAGCACAGAUACUUUGACUUCAGGCUAUGUUCUUUUGCUCAUUUCAUGUAGGUGAAUAUUAAGAGCAAGGUUCGUGGACUCGGUAUUGGAAUCCGUACUGGUUACAGCCCUAUCUGAUAAGCGCUCUGAUGUUGUAUUGCUUGAUUCUGUGAUCUUCCCACCCCGAUGGUUGGUUGCUGAGCAUACCUUCCGCCCUUCUUGUUACCAUUGCAGUUGUAUGAGUGAAUUCAUGGGUUUAAUUUAUGGGGCUAAAGCUGACGGAUUUCUUCCCGGGGUGGCUAAGCUCACACAGCUGCAUGAUACCACGUGGACCUGGCACUAAGACAUAAUGAGGCCACGAUUGCUUGCAGUGAGGGUGCUGAGCCAUUUAGAACAAGUGGUACGAUGGCCUUAAUGUUUCAGUUUUCCCUUAUCCCUGGAGUCUGCCCAUGGGCACUUGAGUCUCCAAUUGUCGAUGCUGAGUACUACCGGUGCUGGAUUGGACUGAGGUCGCACUUGUCAUUAAAUGGGAGACAAGCAGUAAAUGGAAGUGUCACUCCAAGCAGUGGAGUUCUGCUUGGAGAUAAUGCGGUGCAUGAAGAUGGAAGCAAUGAUUGAUGUUCUUCCAUUGUUACUGAAUUAUUCAAGCAGUCAUAUGUACAUGUCCCAGCAAAAUAAUGUCCAUAGAAAAUAAAGAUGUCAUAUAAAAGAUAAUGCGCACGCUGAAGUAUCGCAUAUUGAAUUAAGCACCAGAUCUUUCUUCAACCAAGAUGUCGCAUCUAAAGUGGUUUUGAUUCAACAUUCAUGAAAUUAUCUGCCAAAGUUCUUAUGCAAUACAACCAAUUUAAGAUCUUU